rnacentral:rRNA from 1 species
UACGUAGGGUGCAAGCGUUGCCCGGAUUUAUUGGGCGUAAAGGGCGCGUAGGCGGCUCUGCACGUCCGUUGUGAAAUCGCCCGGCUCAACUGGGCGGGGUCAGCGGAUACGGCAGAGCUUGAGCAAGCUAGGGGGCAAUGGAAUUCCCGGUGUAGUGGUGGAAUGCGUAGAGAUCCGGAAGAACACCGGUGGCGAAGGCGGUCUGCUGGGGUAAUGCUGACACUGAGGCGCGACAGCGUGGGGAGCAAACAGG